CCUACGGGAGGCAGCAGUGAGGAAUAUUGGUCAAUGGACGAGAGUCUGAACCAGCCAAGUAGCGUGAAGGAUGACUGCCCUAUGGGUUGUAAACUUCUUUUAUAAAGGAAUAAAACGAGGCACGUGUGCCUUUUUGCAUGUACUUUAUGAAUAAGGAUCGGCUAACUCCGUGCCAGCAGCCGCGGUAAUACGGAGGAUCCGAGCGUUAUCCGGAUGUAUUGGGUUUAAAGGGAGCGUAGAUGGGUUGUUAAGUCAGUUGUGAAAGUUUUCGGCUCAACCGUAAAAUUGCAAUUGAUACUGGCAGUCUUGAGUACAGUUGAGGUAGGCGGAAUUCGUGGUGUAGCGGUGAAAUGCUUAGAUAUCACGAAGAACCCCGAUUGCGAAGGCAGCUUACUAAACUGUGACUGACAUUGAUGCUCGAAAGUGUGGGUAUCAAACAGGAUUAGAUACCCUUGUAGUC
rnacentral:rRNA from 1 species